rnacentral:misc_RNA from 1 species
GAUGAAGAACGUAGCGAAAUGCGAUAAGUAAUGUGAAUUGCAGAAUUCAGUGAAUCAUCGAAUCUUUGAACGCACCUUGCGCCCUUUGGCCAUUCCGAAGGGCAUGCCUGUUUGAGUAUCAUGAACACCUCAACUCUUCAUGGUUUUCCAUGAUGAGCUUGGACUUUGGGGGUCUUGCUGGCCUGUGGGUCGGCUCCUCUCAAAUGAAUCAGCUUGCCAGUUUUUGGUGGGCAUCACAGGUGUGAUAACUAUCUACGCUUGUGGUUUUCCACCAGGGUAACCUUCAGCAGUGGAGGUUCACUGGAGCUUACAAAUGUCUCUCCUCUGUGAGGACAGCCAUUUGAAUGUUUGAUCUCAAAUCCGGUAGGACUACCCGCUGAACUUAAGCAUAUCAAUACGCGGAGGA